rnacentral:rRNA from 1 species
AUCCGGAAUCAUUGGGCGUAAAGCGCCUGUAGGUUGUUUAGUAAGUCUGUUGUUAAAGACUAGGGCUUAACCCUAGAAAAGCAAUGGAAACUACUAGACUAGAGUAUGGUAGGGGUAGAGGGAAUUUCCAGUGUAGCGGUGAAAUGCGUAGAUAUUAGAAAGAACACCGGUGGCGAAAGCGCUCUACUGGACCAUUACUGACACUCAGAGGCGAAAGCUAGGGUAGCAAAAGGGAUUAGAUACCCCUGUAGUCCUAGCCGUAAACGAUGGAUACUAGAUGUUGCGCUUUGUGCAGUAUCGUAGCUAACGCGUUAAGUAUCCCGCCUGGGGAGUACGCUCGCAAGGGUGAAACUCAAAGGAAUUGACGGGGGCCCGCACAAGCGGUGGAGCACGUGGUUUAAUUCGAUGCAACGCGAAGAACCUUACCAGGGCUUGACAUACUACGAAUUUUCUUGAAAAAGAAAAGUGCCUUCGGGAAUGUAGAUACAGGUGGUGCAUGGCUGUCGUCAGCUCGUGUCGUGAGAUGUUGGGUUAAGUCCCGCAACGAGCGCAACCCUUAUUUUUAGUUACCAAUUCGUUGGGUUCUCUAGAAAGACUGCCGGUGACAAACCGGAGGAAGGUGAGGAUGACGUCAAGUCAGCAUGCCCCUUAUGUCCUGGGCUACACACGUGCUACAAUGGCUAAGACAAAGAGUUGCGAGCUCGCGAGAGUCAGCUAAUCUCAUAAACUUAGCCUAAGUUCAGAUUGUAGGCUGCAACUCGCCU